rnacentral:hammerhead_ribozyme from 1 species
ACACUGCUGACGAGUCCCAAAUCGGACGAAACAGCUGUCCAGUGC